GGCCCCGGCGUCGUCGAGGGUUACUCGGAGUUCUGCUCGGCUAGCGGCGAACUCCAAAGCUGAUUCGGCGGUGGAUGAGGCUGUGACGGAGGUGCCGAAGAGUAAGAAGGCGAAACGUGCUCCGAAGGAGAAUGGGAAGGUGGUGGAAGUUGAAAAGGAGACGGUGAAAGUUGAUCCUGCUUUGGAGAAACUUGGCAAGGAUGCGAAGAAUAGAACGGUGGUGAUUGAACAUUGCAAACAGUGCCAAUCAUUCAAGAAAAGGGCAAUCCAGGUGCAAAAUGGUCUAGAGAAUGGUGUUCCUGGAAUCACUGUGCUGCUUAACCCUGAUAAGCCAAGAAGGGGUUGCUUUGAAAUCCGGACUGAAGAUGGCGAGAAGUUUAUUAGUCUUCUGGACAUGAAGCGUCCAUUUACUCGCAUGAAGGAACUGGACAUGGAAGAAGUCAUUUCAGAUAUCAUCAAGAAGAUAAAAGGAUGAUGAAACCCUUUGAUGAAAGAUUGCCUUCUAGGACGCAAUGGUUUUUUUGUGGUGGUUUGAAGCUAACCAACCAGAGUAGCAACUAUGAUGGUGGAAACAUAGCUAAUUGAUCAUUUGCCAAUGCCAAUAUUGUCCCCUCACUUGGCAUGACUGCAAUGGUAAA
rnacentral:misc_RNA from 1 species